GAUAUGCAUGUUUCUUUUUUGGUUUUACGUAAAAGAAAAGAAAAGAAAAAAAAUGUGAUAUUGAUAUAAUAAUAAAAGCAUAGUUCAAGGCAUAUAUUCAAUUGGUUUCCAUUCCAACAUCUAAGUUUGUGGCAGUUCGUUUACAUCACCUCUCCUGGCUAUGUAUUUUUUUUUAUAUUUUUCAACUUUAUCACUUUCAACUAAUCGAUCGCAAGAUAUGGAGAUGUGAUACCUGUAUCACCAUUCUUUUAUAACCUUCAAACCCUCGGCCUCUGAUUACGAUCCUUUAAUGUUCUCAAGUUUUCGUCUGAUCACUGCAACCGCCGCGACACCAUUGUAAUGACCGCAUCGCCGCACAUCCUUGCCGUCAAGAGCCGUUCGCCACCGUGAGCAUUCUUCGCAUUCCGUUGUGACCGUAGCACCACCAUCGGCCGCCGCGAAUCAGUGGUCGUUCACGCCGCCACACCGCCCAUCGUAUCCCUUCGUAACCAAUUUUGUUCGUCGGAGCUUUCCGUCUUACCAACGGAUCCGCCACUUUAGUUCUCCAAUCAAGAUCAUGCUGCAACCAUUGCUGCUGCUCGACUUGUUUCCGUUCGAAACUUUAGUCUUUGGUGUUGGUAGCUUCGUUUUGCAAUUAAGGUUCACGUACUAUUUGAGGACGACUUGAUUAUUUUUGCUUUGUUUGCUAAUAAGGUAAUUUGGGAAACGUGGGGAAUAAGUGAUGAGUGUCGUGAAGAUAAAGAUUUAUUUUUAUUUCGGUAAUGUAAUGAAAAUGUAAUUAGGAUCUUUUGUUUUCAACGUUAUGGAUUGGUUUUAGUU